rnacentral:tRNA from 2 species
GCUGACGUAGCUCAACUGGCAGAGCAGCUGAUUUGUAAUCAGCAGGUUAAGGGUUCGAGUCCCUUCGUCAGCUCAA